UAAAAACGAAACAAAAUAAAAAGAAAGGAGAAAGAAGCAGAGAGCAUUUCGAACAGAGCAGUGGAAAGGAGAAAACGAAAAAGAAAAAGAAAAACUAGGGUUUGAGGCUUUAAGCUUUAAUUUGGUAAGUCAAUCAAGUCCUUUCUUUUAAUUUUGAUGUUUUAAAAGUCUUAGAACAAAGUUUUGUUGAAUUUAAGUUAAAAUUUUGAAAGUUCUUAGAUUUUUUAACAUGAUUCAUGUUGAACAAAUUGUUGAAUUAGGGGUUUGAUUGAUAGAAUUUCUAGUUAAAAUUGAUAAAAGAAUUAAAUUGUAAAGUAAGCUAUAAGUUUUAUGUUAUAGGGACUAAAUUGAGAAAAAAUCAAAAUUAGUGAAAUAUGCUAAAAAUUAGUAGAUAAAUUUGAGUUUGGAAGAAUUUUGAAUAGAAAUAGAGUGUGAAUUAAAUUAGAAAAGUAAAUAAAUUUAGUUAGGAUUAAAUUGGAAUUAAAGUAUAAAUUAGAUAGAAAUUCUAUUAUUAUUAUAAAUUAAUGUUGUAAUUAAUAGUGUAAAUUAUUAUUAUUUUCGUAGCUAACAAGGAACUCGAGGCAUUGACACACAAAGGAAAGGAGAAGAUUAUUGAGGAAUAAUCGAGCAAAUUCGGGUUUGUAUUACUAUAAUUCAAAUUAUUUAUUAUUUAAUGUUAAAUUUAAAUUAUGUGUAUGGUAAGCAAAUAAUAAGGUAAGUGACUUUAAUGAAUUGAAUUUGGAAAAUUAAAUUGAAUGAGAAAAGUAUGUGUUGGUAUUGAAUUGUGUUUUGAUUGAUGAAUGGAAAAGUAUAAUUGAUAUUGACAAAUGAAUUCUUGAAAUAAAAGUGAAAAUUGAAUUGUGAUUAUAUGUGAAUAAUUGAAAUGCAUAUUGAAUUGAGAAAGUGUAUUGAAAAUUGAUUGAAAAGUGAAAAAUGAUUCAAUUGAAAAUGUGAGAAAUUGUGGCUGAAUUGAGUUUUAAUUGAGAAUUGAAAUACCCUAUUAACCAGUAGGGCUAAGUCGGAUAUAAUUGGCAUGUCAUAGGAUUUGGAAGAGUACGGGAUUUAUCGGCUUUGCCGAUCAGGCACUUUAUGUGUCGUAUAUCAGGCACUUUAUGUGUCGUAUUUUAGGCACCUCGUGUGUCGUAUCAGGCACCUCGUGUGUCGUUUCAGGCACCUCGUGUGUCGUUUCAGGCACUUAUGUGUCGUAUACUGAUCAGGUACUAUGUACCAUUUUAGGCACAAUGUGACGUACUGGUGUGUUUGGGUUGGAAUCUGUGUAUCCGUCAAAGUCCAGAUUGCUAAUAUGGUGAAUAACUGAAAUGAGGAAAUUAUAUGAAUAUGAUUGGUCAUAUUAUUGAAAAUAUUGAAAGAAAUUAGAAAAAAAUGAAUUGUGGAUUGAAAUUGAAAAUGGAAUUGGAAAACAUGAACUAAAUGUUCAUGUAGUAAAGGUAAUUAAAGUUAUGACAUAAUAUUAAAAUUGAUGCAUAAUUAAAAGUGUAUUGUUAAUACUAAUAUAGUUUAAGAAUGAAUUAAUGUAAGAGAAAAUCAAUUGUUAUAUACUUGAUAUUUAUAUUUUAUUAUGGUUAUUACAGUUUGAAUUAUGGUAAUACCACUAAGUAUAAAAUACUCAACGUACGGUUGUUUCCAUGCGUAGGUUGAAAGGGGUCCAGAGUCUCGGUUCAGCAUCCAGAACAAUCCCGACUCAAGCAUAAAUUUUGAUGAUGUUUUCUCCCUUAAUUGAAAGUGGCAUGUACUAGGAGUUGUAUAGGUUAUAUAGAUGUGCUUGUAAUGUUGGUUGUAAAAAUGGUAUACCAUAUUUUGGUAUCAGUUUAAUAAAAUGGUAAAGAUUAUAUUAUAUAAUUUGGCAUUAAGUUAGAA
rnacentral:lncRNA from 1 species